UACGGAAGGCAGCAGGGGGAAUAUUGCACAAUGGGCGCAAGCCUGAUGCAGCCAUGCCGCGUGUAUGAAGAAGGCCUUCGGGUUGUAAAGUACUUUCAGUCGUGAGGAAGGUGUUAAGGUUAAUAACCUUAGCAAUUGACGUUAGCGACAGAAGAAGCACCGGCUAACUCCGUGCCAGCAGCCGCGGUAAUACGGAGGGUGCGAGCGUUAAUCGGAAUUACUGGGCGUAAAGGGCACGCAGGCGGUUAAUUAAGUUGGAUGUGAAAUCCCCGGGCUUAACCUGGGAAUGGCAUUCAAGACUGGUUAGCUAGAGUCUUGUAGAGGGGGUAGAAUUCCAUGUGUAGCGGUGAAAUGCGUAGAGAUGUGGAGGAAUACCGGUGGCGAAGGCGGCCCCUGGACAAAGACUGACGCUCAUGUGCGAAAGCGUGGGGAGCGAAACAGGGA
rnacentral:rRNA from 1 species